GACGAACCGAGCGAACGUUGUUCGGAAUCACUGGGCUUAAAGCGUGCGUAGGCGGGCUGUCAAGUCUGGGGUGAAAUCCCGCGGCUCAACCGUGGAACUGCCUCGGAUACUGACGGCCUCGAGGAAGGUAGGGGCAUGCGGAACUGUAGGUGGAGCGGUGAAAUGCGUUGAUAUCUACAGGAACUCCGGUGGCGAAGGCGGCGUGCUGGACCUUUUCUGACGCUGAGGCACGAAAGCUAGGGGAGCAAACGGG
rnacentral:rRNA from 1 species